AACAACUGAGCUCUUGGCUUUAAAUAAGAGCUCCCACAUAAAUUCGAGAGUCUCAACUGAGUACACCUUUGCAUAUAAUUUUACACAUAAUGCCUUGGGCUACACACGUGCUACAAUGGCCGAGACAAAGGAUCGCGAUCCCGCGAGGGUGAGCUAACUCCAAAAACCCGUCCUCAGUUCUGAUUGUAGGCUGCAAAUCGCCUACAUGAAGCCGGAAUCACUAGUAAUCGUCGGUAAGCCAUACGGCGGUGAAUUC
rfam:Lupinus angustifolius cultivar Tanjil chromosome LG14, whole genome shotgun sequence.